UAAGCCACUGAGCGAGCCAGGGAUCGAACCUGAAACCUCAUGGUUCCUAGUCGGGUUCGUUUCUGCUAUGCCACAACGGGGACUCCUGGGGAUGGACUUUUUAAGCAAGAGUUUUUAAUGCCCUCUCUGGGUAUAACACCACAAUGACCUCUGAAGAGGAUACAAGAGAGGAUGAGAAUGUGGGGAACGGCCACAAAGAGAUAAGGAAUCCCUGGAGGAGAGACCUCUGGUGCUCACGCUGUAAUUGGAGCGAUCUCAGCAGAAGGCACCGCAAACUGAGUGGUGCAGGUGGGGCCAAGGGGGCAUUUCAAACUAACCGGGUGGGCCAGGAGGGGCGGGGCGGCGAGGGGGGCAGUGGUGAGAGAAGACUGUGGAUUCCAGAGUAGGCAAGCCUACCUUUGAAUCUUGAUCUCUGCCCUUUCAAUGAAGUAUCAGGCAAGUCCCCGACCAUCUCCGAGUCUCCUGUGUAAAAGGCUUGUAGGAGGGUUGAAAUUACCCCGGGUGUGCAAUAUCUGACACAGUAUAGGAAUCCUGUACGUGUUAGCUCCAUCCCGAGAUGCCAUCUGAACUCACAUGAGACCUUUGUCCAUGUCCCUCUAUAAAUGUGCCUUUACAACAUGCCAUGGUCCACCCCACUCCCAACCAUUAUUUUCCGAGCUCAUUGGCCAAGGAUGGGUGAGAGGGAGACGGGAGCGGAAAGGCCCUCGGGAGGAUUCAUUCCUACGGCAUCUGGAUACAGAUCAGAUCCCCUACUUCCAUAACAUGCACGUUUCAUUUAGAUACACAGGGGUAGGAUUGGGUUCCUGGGGAGAAACUGAGCCUCUUCACGUCUGCCCGGUCUAAAUCAAGCAGUCCCUUGGUUACCCACUCCCGGGCUUUGUGAUUGGUCGGCUGCGAAGGUGGGGGAGGAGGGAAGUCGGCGGCUGAUGGAGCGGCAGCAUCCCUUAGCCUCAGGCCCCAGGAGGGGGAGGGAAAAAGCAGGGCUGAGCCGGGGAGGGAAGGGGGAGCCAUUUCUCUCCACUGACCGCCACCUCCGUGCUCACCGCUCGCGUUUCCCCGGCAUCCGGAGGCCUCCCCAGCCAAGGACUCCACAAUGCUGGAUAUUUUCAUCCUGAUGUUCUUUGCCAUCAUAGGCCUGGUCAUUCUGUCCUAUAUUAUCUAUCUGCUCUAGGGGCCCGCAGCGGCGGCGUGGAGCCCGCAGGAGAACAGCGCAUGGGGGAAGGAUGAAGCUGACUGGCGGAGGAGCAUCCUGCCUGCUGACGCAUCGGUGGAUUUUUGCUUCUGGUCAUUAUUUCGGCUCCUGGACUCUGGUGCCACGAGAGGCCCCUUUAUCAACAGCAGGAGUCCUGCUGUCCAGCAGACCUCUUCCAGAACCUUCCGGAUAUGGUUCGCCCUUGUCAAGCAAGGGGCUUUCUGAGUUCAGAGGCAGAGGCAGUCGGCUGGGACGUCAGGAAUUCACGGGCAUGGCCGGCAGCUGCUGCAUGCAAUGAAGCUUGUAGACACAGGGAGCGGAAAUGUAGACUCGUUAAAGUUACCGUGGAGGAUCGCUCCGAAAUUCAUUCUGAUAGCUUUUCCUGAAGUCUAAAUGCCACCACAUAUGAUGCUGCAAUACGUUCUUUCCUUUCUCUCUCACACGCAGGGGUUCCCUUGUGUUAAGUCCUAGAGCACAUUAUCUGUCUUCAUCUAUGAGGCGGUCACUUUAUCACGGUCUUCAGGGAUUACACAAUCUGAGGUUGUGUGGUUUCCCGUGUCUCACUCUCUAGAAGGAACUAGUCAUUUGAGUUUUUAAGAUUUCUCAUAUCUUUCCAGACCCCUUGUGCUCCAGCAUCUCAUUCAAAGAGAGAAACAGUUAUAUUGUCCUCAUUCUUGGUGCCUAACUAAAUUACAAAUGAUUGAAAAAAGAUGGCUAGACUUAUCUUGUUAUUUGGAAAAAAAUCUCUCUCAUACCCCCAAAUAAAUGUUUUUUAUAUUGUCAAAUGGUCUUUUUUUAAAAAAAAAAAAAAGAAAGCAAAAACUUUCAUCAUAUUUCUCUAAGUAGGGUUGAGGAAACCAUAUAUUUAGGGAUCCGAAGUAGCCUUGGGCCCCAAAUCUGUGGUAUCUGUUCCUUUGAAAAGUCCAUCAUGAUGAUUCCCUACUUGACUUUUCCUUCUAGUAUAAAAAUAAACAAGGAGAUGGAGUUCCCGUCGUGGCUCAGUGGUUAAUGAAUCCGACUAGGAACCAUGAGGUGGAGGGUUCGGUCCCUUACCUCGCUCAGCGGGUUAAGGAUCCGGUGUUUCCGUGAGCUGUGGUGUAGGCUGCAGACUCGGCUUGGAUCCUGAGUUGCUGUGGCUGUGGCGUAGGCCAGUGGCUACAGCUCCGAUUAGACCCCUAGCCUGGGAACCUCCAUAGGCCAUGGGAGCAGCCCAAGAAAUGGCAAAAAGGAAAAAUAAAUAAGUAAAUAAAUAAACAAGGAGAAAGAUUAACGUAGUUCUUAUUCAUACAUUGUGUUCCAUUUCCAUGUUUUAAAUUGAAAUAAAAUUGAGGCAAUAUCAUAUAUGUCACAAUUAAAAUGGAAAAAUUAAAAUUUGACACCAAAAAACACUGUUCUAGAAGCUUGACUUGGCAACAUAUUAUGUGAUCUUCAAUAAGUUUUUUUAACCUUCAGGGCUUUAAUUUAUUCUGACAAAUAAAUGAUUGGACUAGAAAA